UGGCAAAAGGAGCAGAGUGCUCAGGCCCAGCGACUGAAAGACAAGGUGGCCCAGAUGAAGGACACCCUAGGCCAGGCCCAGCAGCGGGUGGUGAGUGAGGCCCCUUGGCAACAGGAAACGGGAAAUUCCAAGGGCAAGUUGUAGAAAAGCCUGAGUGUCUAAAGAGAAGGGGAGAGACAUGGCUAAAGACUAAACAACACAACCCCGAGUCCUAACGCAGUGGAGUGGAGGGAGCCUGGUUACCUCCCCGGCUGACAAAUGAUUCACUGGGAACUCUGAUCUCCAUCUUCUCCUUUCUCCUGAGGCUGAGCUGGAGCCCUUGAAGGAGCAGCUUCGAGGGGCCCAGGAGCUUGCCACCUCAAGCCAGCAGAAAGCCACCCUUCUUGGGGAGGAGUUGGCCAGCGCAGCAGCAGCCAGGGACCGCACCAUAGCCGAACUACACCGCAGCCGCCUGGAAGUGGCUGAAGUUAACGGCAGGCUGGCUGAGCUCGGUUUGCACUUGAAGGAAGAAAAAUGCCAAUGGAGCAAGGAGCGGGCAGGGCUGCUGCAGAGUGUGGAGGCAGAGAAGGACAAGAUCCUGAAGCUGAGUGCAGAGAUACUUCGAUUGGAGAAGGCAGUUCAGGAGGAGAGGACUCAAAACCACGUGUUCAAGACUGAGCUGGCCCGGGAGAAGGAUUCUAGCCUGGUACAGUUGUCAGAAAGUAAGCGGGAGCUGACAGAGCUGAGAUCAGCCCUGCGUGUGCUCCAGAAGGAAAAGGAGCAGUUACAGGAGGAGAAGCAGGAAUUGCUAGAGUACAUGAGAAAGCUAGAGGCCCGCCUGGAGAAGGUGGCAGAUGAGAAGUGGAACGAGGAUGCCACCACAGAGGAUGAGGAGGCCACUGCGGGG
rnacentral:sRNA from 1 species